GACAAGCUCCGCCCACCUCCUCCACUCAAACCAACAAGUCUAACCGUUGCGUGGACGCGAUUUUUCUCCUGCUUGAACAACUGUGGAACCAUGUUGAUUAAAACAAGACUUGGCGAGCGGCAGAAAUUUGUCCGACUAACAGAACCGAAUCUGAAGGAGUUUUUGAUAGCAGCAUUUGCAAAAUUUGGCGUGCCAGCUAUAACAGAGGGCGUGAAGGUUCUUGACUGUUCUGGGACUGAGUUGGAUGAAGAUGUGUUUGAGGAUGUUGUUAAGGAUCCCUCAGCUGGAGUCCUAACCAUCAAAUAUGAAACUG